AGGUUCCGCGGACGGAAGGCAGGCGCCCGGUCUAGGACGUCAUCGCGCUGACGCCGGCGUCCGCUCGGCCCCGCCUGCUCCGUUGAAAGUGCCGGACUCAACAUGGCGGCGCGCGCUCCGCCCGCUUCACCGCGGUGUUUCUUCUCGCGCGGCCGAUCCCGAAGACAUCCUAACAACUAUGCAUAGUACAACUGCAUUAUGCUGAAUUCUUGACUCCAUUAGGAUUUAGUGAAGGGUAGGGGGAGUGCCUAUCAAGAAAUGGAGAAGGACGUGCUGUUCAAUCUUUCAUACUUCCGCUGCCUUUUAACUCUCUGGUAGGGUGUGGUCUUCCUAAGAGAGCAUCCUCCAGGGAUCUUACUGGAAAGGAGGAACCCCAGGCCUCAAAUCUCCUGAAGCAGAGUCUGCGCUUUAGCAGAAUCCCCAGAGGUUGCUCUGCAUGCUAAAGUUGGCAAAGCCCUGGCCUAAGGCCUGGGGUGGUCUGGCUUAAAGUGAUGUGGGGGCAUCACAAAUGUAAGAAGAGAUAAGGUCCGCAGGGCCAAAAUCUAUGGUGGCAGGGCCAGCUGCUUACUGCAUUUGGGCACUGACAGCACGUUGAGAAGAGGGCAACAGAGGCCGAGAUGGUUGGUUGAUGGCAUCAUCGACCCAAUGGGCAUGAGUUUAAGCAAAGUCCAGGAGAUAGGGAAGGACAGGGAAGCCUGGUGUGCUGCAGUCCAGUGGCGUCGCAGAGUCGGACAUGGCUGAGCAACAACAGCAAAAACAAGCACGUCGAUUCUCAGAAGACAGAUGAGAAAUGUGUCCCUGGGCCAGCAAGGAUGAACACCACGACUUUGAGAUCCUUUGUUAAAAGGGAAAAGGAGAUCACCUGCCGGCCCUCUUCAGAGAGGAGAGACUCCCUUGGACAAGAGAGGCAGGCUGCCAAAGCCCACGGAAUGCGCUUCUGAUAUUCAGGAAAAGUUUGCUGACCUCCUGAAAGACCCUGACGCUACUCAGGGUCUCCGUUUGACUGUCUCACCUGUGAAUUUCUCCGUGAUGGAUUCUAGUCCAGCAUCUCUUUCCCAAAAUACCUUUUACCAGCUGCGUGUGGAAAAGACAGUAUUUGAACUGUGCCUGCCGUGACUCAAGAACUGAGCUUUCAAUUUUAUUUAGUGGUGAGUGAAACCCAGCCCCAGCGACCUGCAGAAAGAGGCGACUUUGACUUCUCUCCCGUUGAGAGGCGCCGGUCCAUCAAAAGAUCCAAGGAUACCCCUAAGGCUUUGCCCUGAUGACUGAGCUGCACGGGGAGAGCAUUGUUUCAGCUCCGGCCACAUGAAUCAGGCCCUUGCCACAGCUCGGGAAGGAAUUUUUUCACUCAACGCAUUCAAAACCCAGCAUUUCACGGAAUUCGGCCGCCAGUGAAAACAAUGGGCGGCCUUGUCAGUGGCGACCGCAUUCAAAGUUAAUGGGCUUGAAGGAGCCUUUCGGGGGUGGUGGUGGUGGGGUGGGUGCCCGUCAGAGGACCCGGGAGCUGAGGCCCACACCCACCCCUGGCCGCCCAGUCUUCAGCAGCCGAGGGCGCAGUAUGAGAUUCCUGGGGCCGGCUCACCAGCCUGCAGACAGGUCGGCAGUGUUCUCAGGGGCCUGCGCCCGGGAUCUAAGGCGCAUCCUCAUAGACUGUGAUAAAGCAAUCCGCCCCCUCCCCCCGCCACCCCCUGAUCAGAUGCAGGGGUCAGCCACGAGGUGGGUAACGGGGGACUGUGCCCCCCACCCCGCGCUUCAUGCUGCCUUCAUGCCGAGGUCACCCUGGCCCCGAUUUUCCCGCCUGCCAGGGAAUAGAGCCCUCCAACAAAUUUAUGAAGUCCCCGGUAAUUUGCAAUUCAUGUGCCGCUUUGCAAGUCUGGAGGACUUGGUGAACACCACGCCCUCGUCACACAAAGGCCUCUAAGCAAGGGGAAGAGUCUAGACAGCCAGGGCAGGGGCCGGGGGUGGGGGUGGGGUGCAGGAAUCCCUUCGAAAUCCUCGGGUAACCCCUUCAGGUAGCCUUUGAUGCAAAACCAUAUGGAAAUUUGGUCUUUAGACUUUGGAUCACUUGCUUUUUUUUUUUUUUUUCCUUUUUGGAAGUUUGUUUAAUUCCAAAUUGUAUUUUACAUAUUGUGACGUGCCAUGCCAUGCCUUAAGACUGUCUCUGCAAGUUACUGAUGAAGACAUCACAUCAACGUCCUACCAUCAUACACAUCUCAUUUACUGAGCUCUGCAGACGGAGGUAUUCUGGCUCUGACAGGGUCUUCCUCCCCCCAGCUCUCUGGAAAAUUUCACAUUCCGGGCACCUCCUCUUCGGACAAGGGUGUCUUGUGUCUUCGAGUCCAGUUGGAGAGCCUGGCAGGCAAACAACACGGGCUAUUCAGUCCCGGAGCCGCUUUACACAUGCACGGCCGAAGCCAAGGCCAAGGCGUCGUCAUCGUCCCAGACGUGCUGGUUCACAGGCAGCCUGGCGCAGUUCAGACGCGGCGAUCGGGUCCGCGAAAGGAGGUGCAUCAACAAACAUCUUGCUGCCACUUAUGUCCAAAAAUUUUACAGUUUGUAUGGAAACACAAAAGACCACAAGUCACCAAAUUAAUCUCGAGAAAGAAAAAAUGGAUCUGGCAGAAUCAGACUCUCUUACUUCAGAGCCACAGUCAUCAAAAGAGUAUGGUCCUGGCAGAAAAACAGAAAGACAGACCUGUGGAACCCAAGAGAAAGCCCAGAGAUAAACCCAUACACCCAUGGUCACCUAAUGUAUGACAAAGCAGGCAAGAACUUACAGUGGAGAAAAGACAGUCUCUUCAACGCUGGGGACUCAGGCGCUGACACAUGAUUUAUGAGAAGCGACAUCUUGGAACAAAGACAACCUCCACCCAGAGCCACACUGCUGGUCGAACCGGGCUUGGACCCACAAAACGUGGUGCUGCUCGACCCAUCGUGCUGAAAUGACCUCCGUGGACCCGAAAUACGGAGGCGUCUGGGCGGAUUCUUUACCAGCUGAGCUGGAAGCCCAGUGAAGCGCCAAAGUAAGAACUACUAAGAAAGCAAGAGAAAUAAAAGUGGAAAGAAACUGAGAUGAAACCAGCAGAUGACUCGUAUACCCCAUACAUAAAGGACUCUUGCAGGACAGACUGGCUAAACCCCCUGGAGCGUGCUUUGGAAAAGAGGAGCCCCAUCGCCAAUAAACUCACGACGAGGUGUUCAACCCCUGGAUGAUGUGAAACGUGCAAAUACAGAGCAGCGAGCCAUCACAACACGUGUACCAGAAGCGCUGAGGCAUGUGUGAUCCUAGCUUCCUGACCAGGGAUGGAACCUGCCACCCCUGCGUUGGAAGGUGAAGUCUUGACCACUGGACCGCCAGGGAAGGCCUUCUUACCAGCCCAUCACUGGGGCAAACCAAAUCUCCAGCAACUGCUGACAAGAAACGUCACAGCUGGAGGUGUCCCGGGGACAAACGGUACAACGCAGCAUGAGUGGCUGAAUCACUGCUUCCUGCAGGAGACUGGGAGAGUGUCCCCCGUGUACUGUUCACUGCGAGAAGCCAGAAUGAAUUUGAGCAGCUUGGAAGAAAAUUCCAGAACAAGAGCUCCAGCACCAAUAUCCCGCAUGGCACACGAGCUGAUAACACUGAGUAAAACAGCGCCUCAGAAAAGUUAAGAAUUCUGAAAACUAAUUCAUGAAACAAUUUUGCCCGAAAUAGAUUUUUGUGUCUUAAAAUGCACAGAAGGGAUAAUAUGUAUGUCAAUGAUCUCUAAAAGCAGUUUUUCAGUAACGCAAAACAAAUACUCCUAGGAAACAAAACAAGGGCAUGAAAGGAAUUUAUCUCGGAGAUAAGAAGAAAACAGAAUCUAUCCUAAGGAUGAAUGUUCACUGCAGUAUCAAUGAUAAGACAGAAAUUCUGAAGGCAGCUAAAUGUUUGACUACAUUGCAAUUAUGACAACAGGUAAUAUCAAGGCAGCCAUUUCAAAAUGUUAUUAAAAAUACUAACAGUAUAUAAAAUGCAAAUAUAGUAUUUGAAAAUGUGUUCAUUUUACACACACACACACACACACACACACACAAAUGGCUUCCCUGCUGGCUCAGUCUGCAAUCCAAGAGACCUGGGUUCGACCCCUGGGUUGAGAAGAUCUCCUGGAGGAGGGAAUGGCAACCCACUCCAGUAUUCUUGCCUGGAGAACCCCAUGGACAGUCCACAGGGUCGCAAGGAGUCGGACCCCACUGAGAAACUAAUGCGUACACAUACAUAUAUAACUGGGUGAGAAACCAGAGAGGUAUAAUAAACUUGUGUAAGCAAAUCUGCUAAAACUCUACUUCUGUGAAAUACUACGAAGAGAAUAGGCCUUUUUCCUGUCUUUCAAAUUAUUUGUGUUAUGCACCUUUUUAAUAAAUAAUUACUUUAAAACAGA